rnacentral:rRNA from 1 species
GACGAACGCUGGCGGCGUGCUUAACACAUGCAAGUCGAACGGUAAGGCCCUUCGGGGUACACGAGUGGCGAACGGGUGAGUAACACGUGGGUGAUCUGCCCUGCACUUCGGGAUAAGCCUGGGAAACUGGGUCUAAUACCGGAUAGGACCCUGGGAUGCAUGUCCUGGGGUGGAAAGCUUUUGCGGUGUGGGAUGGGCCCGCGGCCUAUCAGCUUGUUGGUGGGGUGGUGGCCUACCAAGGCGACGACGGGUAGCCGGCCUGAGAGGGUGACCGGCCACACUGGGACUGGGAUACGGCCCAGACUCCUACGGGAGGCAGCAGUGGGGAAUAUUGCACAAUGGGCGCAAGCCUGAUGUAGCGACGCCGCGUGAGGGAUGACGGCCUGCGGGUUGUAAACCUCUUUCAGCACCGACGAAGCGCAAGUGACGGUAGGUGCAGAAGAAGGACCGGCCAACUACGUGCCAGCCGCCGCGGUAA